UGAUUAUUUUGUUUGUUGAUGGAUAAAAUUGGUGCAGUGUACGUUUUCCAUAUCUCUGGAUAUUCUAUUCCUUCGUUUGGGUCUAGUUUGGGUGCUAGUGGCCUUAUCGAUAGCAAGACGGGUACCAAUUGGCUCCACGAUGCGACAUAGAUCAUCCCAAACGUAGUGAUGCCAUGGAAAGUUAGUCCAAAUUGAGGCUGGAUUUUCAUUGUUUUCAGGUUCGGAGGCACAGUCUAGCGGUCCAGAAAAUCAGUAGAUUCGUCAGGCA